GGAGAAAGGAAGGCACUUGUAGAUAGAGAUCUUGAUAAUGGUUGGUUAAUGGGGCAGCGUCAGUUUCUUGAUCUCGACAGCCUUGCAUUUCAGCAAGGUGGUUUGUUGAUGGCAAAUAAGAAAUGUGAGCUUCCAGUGGGGUCUUACAGGAAUCAUAAGAAGGGCUACGAGGAAGUUCACGUGCCAGCAUUGAAGCCAAGGCCACUAGAUCCUGGUGAAGAGCUUGUGAAGAUAUCCUCCAUUCCCGAGUGGGCUCAACCAGCAUUCAGUGGGAUGACCCAAUUGAACAGGGUGCAGAGUAAAGUAUAUGAGACUGCCCUCUUUUCUCCGGAGAACAUUUUGCUCUGUGCUCCAACUGGUGCCGGGAAGACCAAUGUAGCUAUGCUCACUAUACUUCAGCAAAUUGCACUAAACCGCAAUGAAGAUGAUGGUACAUUCAACCACAACAACUAUAAGAUUGUAUAUGUGGCACCCAUGAAAGCCCUUGUUGCAGAAGUGGUUGGCAAUCUCUCCAAGCGUUUGGAACAUUAUGGUGUCACAGUGAAAGAGUUGAGUGGUGAUCAAACAUUAACUCGUCAACAGAUUGAAGAGACUCAAAUUAUUGUGACUACCCCAGAAAAGUGGGAUAUUAUCACCAGAAAGUCGGGCGAUCGCACAUAUACACAGCUUGUGAAACUUCUUAUUGUUGAUGAGAUUCAUCUGCUGCAUGACAAUAGAGGUCCUGUCUUGGAGAGUAUCAUCGCUAGAACUAUUCGACAGAUCGAAACCACCAAAGAGCAUAUUCGUCUUGUUGGAUUGUCAGCAACUCUUCCAAAUUAUGAGGACGUGGCUGUAUUUUUGCGAGUGGAUCUGAAGAAAGGACUCUUCCAUUUUGACAAUAGCUAUAGGCCUGUUCCGUUGGCUCAGCAGUAUAUUGGAAUUACAGUUAAGAAGCCACUGCAGAGAUUCCAGUUGAUGAAUGAUGUUUGCUAUGAGAAGGUGAUUAGUAUUGCAGGAAAGCAUCAGGUGCUUAUUUUUGUCCAUUCAAGGAAGGAAACAUCUAAAACAGCUCGUGCGAUACGGGAUACUGCACUUGCUAAUGACACCCUUGGUAAGUUUUUGAAGGAGGACAGUUUAACUCGGGAACUUUUACAGUCGCAAACUGAGCUUGUGAAGAGCAAUGAUCUCAAAGAUCUUUUACCAUAUGGUUUUGCUAUUCAUCAUGCGGGGAUGGUUAGAACAGAUCGGCAACUUGUGGAGGAUCUUUUUGCUGAUGGCCAUGUGCAAGUGUUGGUUUCAACAGCCACUUUAGCAUGGGGUGUCAAUUUACCUGCACAUACUGUGAUUAUAAAAGGUACCCAGAUUUACAAUCCUGAGAAAGGAGCAUGGACUGAACUCAGUCCUCUUGAUGUUAUGCAAAUGCUUGGUCGUGCUGGACGUCCUCAAUAUGACACCUAUGGUGAAGGGAUCAUAUUAACGGGCCACAGCGAAUUGCAAUAUUAUUUGUCCCUGAUGAAUCAGCAGCUGCCAAUAGAAAGUCAAUUUAUCUCCAAGUUGGCAGAUCAGUUAAAUGCCGAGAUUGUCCUCGGGACUGUGUUGAAUGCCAAGGAAGCAUGUAAAUGGCUCCUGUAUACGUACCUCUAUGUCCGCAUGGUACGGAAUCCCACACUUUAUGGUCUACCUGCUGAUGCUCUAAAGACCGACUAUGCUUUGGAGGAAAGGCGUGCUGACUUGGUACAUUCUGCUGCUGUAUUGCUGGACAAGAAUAACUUGGUCAAGUAUGACAGAAAAAGUGGAUAUUUCCAGGUGACUGACCUGGGUCGCAUUGCGAGUUAUUAUUAUAUAACUCAUGGGACAAUUUCCACAUACAAUGAGCAUUUGAAGCCUACGAUGGGUGACAUUGAACUUUGCAGACUUUUCUCUCUUAGUGAGGAAUUCAAAUAUGUUACAGUCAGACAAGAUGAGAAAAUGGAAUUGGCGAAGCUUCUAGAUCGUGUUCCUAUCCCAAUAAAAGAGAGUCUUGAGGAACCCAGUGCCAAGAUCAAUGUACUAUUGCAGGCAUAUAUUUCACGGCUGAAGCUUGAAGGGUUGUCCCUGUCAUCCGACAUGGUUUAUAUCACUCAGAGUGCUGCACGUCUGAUGCGAGCCCUUUUUGAGAUUGUUCUGAAAAGGGGAUGGGCUCAGUUAGCUGAGAAGGCCUUAAAAUGGUGCAAAAUGAUAAGCAAGAGGAUGUGGAGUGUAC
rnacentral:misc_RNA from 1 species